GUCAAUAUCGGGCAACCCUAUCGGGGGGGAUAUUCCUAUAUAUCCACGGCCUCCAUACCCCUUAUAAUUUAACACUGCGAUGGAGUCUAAUUGCCAAAGACUCUAACAUAUCAACCUUUUAUGCACCAUGUUCAUUACACUUAUUUCACUCUUAAAUGAAGUCUCUCCUGAUAGAAAUGUAGUUGAAAGGCUAAAACAUUCUAGAUGGUGUUUUUAAAAAGGACUGGUGUGGUUUUUUAAAAACAACAUCUAGGGGGGAAAAAAUUAUAUUUAUCUCGCUGCCAUCUUUAAAUAA